rnacentral:lncRNA from 1 species
CGAGGUCGGCGCCCCGGACUCCCAUCGUGAUGCUUCCUCUGCUCCUGGUGCCCCGGAUGCCCCCCUUCGAGACAGCCGGUCCGACCGACGGCAAAGGAAGAAAACUCGUGCUGAGAAACGAAAGUCGGUCGCCGCCUCCUUGGUGAAGGACUCGGUCCAAAUUGAGGACUUGGACGCUUCUGAGAACAGCCCUGGUGCCAGCCACUCUAACAUUCCGUCGGACGGGACCUUCGACCGCUUCUUUGCGUCUUCGUCGGGAGGCGGGCAUUUUGAAGACGGGCACCUCAAGGCUGUCAUGAA